rnacentral:rRNA from 1 species
AUUGAACGCUGGCGGCAGGCCUAACACAUGCAAGUCGAGCGGAUGAAGGGAGCUUGCUCCUGGAUUCAGCGGCGGACGGGUGAGUAAUGCCUAGGAAUCUGCCUGGUAGUGGGGGAUAACGUCCGGAAACGGGCGCUAAUACCGCAUACGUCCUGAGGGAGAAAGUGGGGGAUCUUCGGACCUCACGCUAUCAGAUGAGCCUAGGUCGGAUUAGCUAGUUGGUGGGGUAAAGGCCUACCAAGGCGACGAUCCGUAACUGGUCUGAGAGGAUGAUCAGUCACACUGGAACUGAGACACGGUCCAGACUCCUAGGGGAGGCAGCAGUGGGAAAUAUUGGACAAUGGGCGAAAGCCUGAUCCAGCCAUGCCGCGUGUGUGAAGAAGGUCUUCGGAUUGUAAAGAACUUUAAGUUGGGAGGAAGGGCAGUAAGUUAAUACCUUGCUGUUUUGACGUUACCAACAGAAUAAGCACCGGCUAACUUCGUG